ACCCCACGAAAAGACCAUCUCAGUUCGGAUUGCAGCCUGCAACUCGGCUGCAUGAAGCUGGAAUCGCUAGUAAUCGCAGAUCAGAAUGCUGCGGUGAAUACGUUCCCGGGUCCUGUACACACCGCCCGUCACACCAUGGGAGUUGGAAAUGCCCGAAGUCAGUGACCGAACCGAAAGGAAGGAGCUGCCGAAGGUGGAGCCGAUGACUGGGGUGAAGUCGUAACAAGGUAAC
rnacentral:rRNA from 1 species